CCAUACAAAACUUCAGUGUUGCUCCGAAUUCUGGAAUAUACAGAACAACACACCACCCUUAUAAGAUAAAUUUCCAGUUUGGUACAAAAGUUUCUCUGGUUAAUGUUAAUUUGGUUCCUGAUAUUAAACCACAAUACACACCUUUGUCUUUAUUGACAACCACUGCAUUUGAUACUGAUUAUUUGGUUGAUAUUUUGGGAUUACUGGUCGGAGUGGGGACUGAAAGAGAAUUGCAAGUUGAUGGAAAGACAACAAAAUUAAAUGUCAUAGCAAUAGAAGCUGAUGGGUUUCGAAUAGAGUGUACUUUGUUUGGUAUUUAUGUGGAUGAACUGAAUGUAUUUCUUUCGAGUGGAGAAGUACAAAAUAC